GGUGCAUGGCAGACGGGUGAGUAACGCGUGGGGAAUCUACCUCUUUGUGGGGAAUAACGCUCCGAAAGGAGUGGUAAUACCGCAUGAGAUCCAUGGCUGGGAUGCUGUGGAUGAAACCUGGGGACCGCAAGGCCUGGGGCAAGGAGAGGAUCCUGCGUCUGAUUAGCUAGUUGGUGAGGUAAUGGCCCACCAAGGCGACGAUCAGUAGCCGGCCUGAGAGGGUGAUCGGCCACACUGGAACUGAGACACGGUCCAGACUCCUACGGGAGGCAGCAGUGGGGAAUUUUGCGCAAUGGGCGAAAGCCUGACGCAGCAACGCCGCGUGGGUGAUGAAGGUCUUCGGAUCGUAAAACCCUGUCGUCGGGGACGAAGGUUUGGGCGUUAAUAGCGUUCAAGCUUGACGGUACCCGGAGAGGAAGCCCCGGCUAACUCUGUGCCAGCAGCCGCGGUAAUACAGAGGGGGCAAGCGUUAUUCGGAAUUAUUGGGCGUAAAGGGCGCGUAGGCGGCUUUUUAAGUGAGAUGUGUAAUCCCCGAGCUCAACUUGGGAACUGCAUCUCAUACUGGGAGGCUAGAGUACUGGAGAGGGUGGUAGAAUUCCACGUGUAGCGGUGAAAUGCGUAGAGAUGUGGAGGAAUACCAGUGGCGAAGGCGGCCACCUGGACAGUAACUGACGCUGAGGCGCGAAAGUGUGGGUAGCAAACAGGAUUAGAUACCCUGGUAGUCCACACUGUAAACGAUGAACACUUGGUGUGGAGGGAGUUGACCCCUUCCGUGCCGUAGCUAACGCGUUAAGUGU
rnacentral:rRNA from 1 species